rnacentral:rRNA from 1 species
AAAGUGGAGCAAUCCAUGAGUAGAGUGGCGAACGGGUGAGUAACACGUGGGUGACCUGCCUUCGAGUGGGGGAUAACGUCCCGAAAGGGACGCUAAUACCGCAUGACAUCCUGCCUUUGAAGAGGCGGUGAUUAAAGCUGGGGAUCGCAAGACCUGGCGCUUGAAGAGGGGCCCGCGUCCGAUUAGCUAGUUGGUGGGGUAAUGGCCUACCAAGGCGACGAUCGGUAGCCGGCCUGAGAGGGCGGACGGCCACACUGGGACUGAGACACGGCCCAGACUCCUACGGGUGGCAGCAGUGGGGAAUUGUUCGCAAUGGGCGCAAGCCUGACGACGCAACGCCGCGUGGAGGAUGAAGAAUUUCGGUUCGUAAACUCCUUUCGAUCGGGACGAAUCGGUCACGGCCUAAUACGCUGUGGCAUUGACGGUACCGAGAGAAGAAGCCCCGGCUAACUCCGUGCCAGCAGCCGCGGUAAUACGGGGGGGGCAAGCGUUGUUCGGAAUUACUGGGCGUAAAGGGCGCGUAGGCGGCCUGCUAAGUCGGACGUGAAAUCCCUCGGCUCAACCGAGGAACUGCGUCCGAUACUGGUGGGCUUGAAUCCGGGAGAGGGAUGUGGAAUUCCAGGUGUAGCGGUGAAAUGCGUAGAUAUCUGGAGGAACACCGGUGGCGAAGGCGGCAUCCUGGACCGGUAUUGGCGCUGAGGCGCGAAAGCUAGGGGAGCAAACGGGAUUAGAUACCCCGGUAGUCCUAGCCCUAAACGAUGAAUGCUUGGUGUGGCGGGUAUCGAUCCCUGCCGUGCCGAAGCUAACGCAUUAAGCAUUCCGCCUGGGGAGUACGGUCGCAAGGCUG